ACAGGAUUCGGAAGAAAGACAACACCAAGGAAGGCCUGACCCUGACCAAGGACCGAUGCUCUGCUCCUGCCAUCUAACAUUAUCUUCAACUCACAAGAACAGUGAACCACUAAAAUAGACUGGAACCAGUCUACGGCGGCCCUACGCAACUGGAUCAGAGGAAAGUGCCUGGCGCCUGAGUGGAGGUUGAUGGACAGAUUGUGACGUUCUACGGCUCCACUCUGGUUGACAACGGUGCGGCUGCUAACGGACAACCCCUGGAGAUCCCUGGUGUCAGUCGACCCGGUCUGGUCACUAAGGCAGGCCUGGUGCAGUUUGGACACGACGGCAAGACGGUUCACUGAAUUCUGCAAAGGUGGCCAGCGCAGGGACAGAAGGACAGAAGGCCAUAACAGAGGCUAUACUGCAAGACCUGAUCAUUUCCUGCAAACUGCCUAUGUCCUUAGUGGACAACCCACACUUUAGGCAUUUCCUGUCAGUGGUAAAUUAUAAAUAUAGACCAGUAAGUAGGCCCACGUUGACCAGGUGCCUGCAUGACUUAACACUGAACAAAGAGGCUACAAUCAAAAGUGCCCUAGAGAAGACAGAAUCAGUGUCUGUCACUGUAGAUAUAUGGACUGACAUGAUCAUGAGGGGCUUCAUGGGAGUAACGGCCCAUUACAUGGCUAUGACAGAGAGAAAAAACUCCCCGACUGGAGUCAGUUCCGUUGAGCUGUGAUAGAUUCACAGGGUCACACACUGGGGAAAGAAUCAGUAAUACAUUUGAAGCAAUAUGUGAUCAUUUUGGCAUAAAACAUAAAUUAGAUUUAUAUCAUAUGUGAUCACGCUGCAAAUAUGAAAAAGGCCUUCACAGUUUGUUUCCCCAAAGUAAGCAAUGAUCAUGAUGAUGAUGAUGAUGAUGAUGAUGUGGAUAACCCCAGCCUAUGGGAAUAAUUUGGUGAAGAGUACAAUGCUGAUGUAGAAGCUAUCCGAACCAACUGCAGGCAACAGCGCUUACAGUUCUUUGCCCAUUCAUUACAACUAGUGAUUAGAGAUGGACUAAAGGAAACACCAAUCAUAAACAGCCUGCUGGCUAAGGUAACUAAACUUUGUAACUUACUACAUACUACCUGUGGUCUGAAAGAAUCAUUUGAAGCUGAGUUCGGAGCCAAUCGUUGUAUCCCUGCUGAUGUGUCUACCAGAUGGAAUUCCAUCCUCCCAAGGACACAAGGAACUCUGCUUAUCACCAAGGGAAUGGAGCCAGCUAUUGGAGCUAGUGGACAUUUUGGACCCUGUGGUGACUCUCAGUGCUGCCCUUCCUUGUGUAUUGUCACUCAACUAUCAUCUGCAAAGUAUACUGAGCACAAGUUGUCACCUAGUCAGUCUUGUAAAAGUACUGCAGCGGUCACUCAGACACUGAUUCCAGGAGGUGUUUGUGAAUGUCAGAAUGGAGCACUCGGAUGAACAGGCAACAAAACUUCCAUUUGGUGACAAUGUAUACAUAAUGGCUGCACUGCUGGACCCAUCUUUCUGCCUGUUCUGGCUUGAUGAUAAUGUCCUCAUACCACAUGAGCAUAAAGCUGAAUUGAAGGAGUCUGAUUGACCUUGUUCUGGCUGAAGCACGGAAAGUCACCAUUACGGAGAGCAGUAGUAGAGAAGAAGAACAACCACCUGCCAAAACCUCUAGACUGUUCUCUGGCCUCCGCAACAAGAUCAGCAAGAAGAAAGGAGACAUAAAGUAAUCUGUCAGAGCAGAUAUUUUUUUCCGCUAUAUUGAGGUAUCUUCUGAUGAAAAUGAAGUUGAUUGCUUGGAUUUUUGGAGAAUCCAUGCAAGAGACUUUCCAAGGCUCAAGCAGGUAGCAAUGACAGUGUUGGCUGUGCCUGCCACCAGUGCCCCAGUGGAGAGAGUGUUUAGUCAUGGAGGCCUCAUCAUGCGACCUCAUCGUGCCAGGCUCAGUGCAAGAACGCUGACAAACUUGAUCUUUCUGAAAUGUAACCUGUCUACAACAUACAUUUUCUCUGUCCUAAGGGCACAGAACGUAACGUACUACUUGUUACAGGAAAUUGCGUUUCUGUUAAGUGUCCAGGUCAGUAAGUAUAUUUUAGGGAUAAAGGUCAUUAUGUUUGAUAAAAAGGACACUUUAGUAGUGCAGUUAUUGAACAGUUGUCAGUCGUUUUGGUUUACAUUUAUGCUUGUCAUUUAUCUUCCCUCACCUACAGAUUUUCUGUUUGUGUGACAGAAUGAAUAGAAAUAUAGACACGGUCUGCCACAAAAUAAAGUGUUAUGUUAGCUUUUUUUAAAUAUCCGGAACAAUUACUUGUAUUAAUGUAAACUGUCUACAUUUUAAAAUGACAUUUAUAUUGAUUUAAA